CUCAACCGCGGCGCUGCCGUGGACUUCAAGGCCAGGAAUGACAUCACACCGCUGCAUGUGGCUUCUAAGAGAGGGAAUGGCAACAUGGUGAAAGUUCUGCUGGAGAGGGGAGGCACGAUAGACGCCAGGACUAAGGACGGUCUGACCCCUCUCCACUGUGGCGCCAGGAGCGGACAUGAACAGGUGCUGGAGAUGCUGCUAGACAGAGGAGCUCCCAUCCUGUCCAAAACUAAGAACGGUCUGUCUCCCUCCACAUGGCCACCCAGGGGGAC